GUAGGUGGCAAGCGUUGUCCGGAAUUAUUGGGCGUAAAGCGCGCGCAGGCGGUUUCUUAAGUCUGAUGUGAAAGCCCACGGCUCAACCGUGGAGGGUCAUUGGAAACUGGGGAACUUGAGUGCAGAAGAGGAAAGUGGAAUUCCACGUGUAGCGGUGAAAUGCGUAGAGAUGUGGAGGAACACCAGUGGCGAAGGCGACUUUCUGGUCUGUAACUGACGCUGAGGCGCGAAAGCGUGGGGAGCAAACAGGGAUUAGAUACCCUGGUAGUCCACGCCGUAAACGAUGUGUGCUAAGUGUUAGAGGGUUUCCGCCCCUUUAGUGCUGCAGCUAACGCAUUAAGCACUCCGCCCUGGGAGUACGGUCGCAAGACUG
rnacentral:rRNA from 1 species